GUACAAGCUCUCGCCUGCCGCCAUGUAAACGUUCUUUGCUCCUGCUUCGUCUUCUGCCGUGAUUGUGAGGCCUCCCCAGCCAUGUGGAACUACUCAUCACUCACUGCAGAUGUUACUUUAAGACAUUCUGGAGCAGCGUCAUGUGCAGUUCUGCAGGCUGGAAAUCCAAGAUGAAGUCACCUGUAGUUCAGUGUCUGUGUCUAAGAGAGCACUUUGUUGCUGCACCCGCCAGAGGGAAGAAAUACUGUAUCUUCUCAUGAAGGAAGGAACCGAAGGUGCGUAGUGCCUCCGCCCAUCUCUCUCUUGCUCCUGGUCUCAUCGUGACGGGCCUGGUCCUGCCUCACUUUAUGCCACGACUAAGAGCUCCCUGAGGCCUCUCCAGAAGCAGAUAUCACUAUGCUUCCUACACAGCCUGCAGAACCGUGAGCCAAUUAAACAUCUCUUCUUAUAAGUUACCUAGUCUCAGGUAUUUCUUUAUAGCAGUGCAACAACAGCCUAAUACAUCUGGCAAUGUUUUUGGAUGUGAUUAUAGAUAAAAAUAAAUCUAAAAAGUUUACCAGCUUUCCGGGGAUCUAGCCAUCUUUAUACAAAGGGCUUCAAAAAUAAACUAAUUAAUAAAAGGAUGGCUAAUCAUUAGAACAACAUUUCAGUAUCUGUGUGGGUGUUAUAUUUUAUCUGUUAGUAAAUAUUUUAUAAUAAGGGAGCAUGUUUCUUUCUGACUUGACAUUAAAGUACCUAUACAUCUGUUAAAAAGUGCUUUGACCUUUAGCAAUGUGGUAUGAUCAACGAUAUUAUAAGCUGAUUUAGGUUAAAAAAAGGACACAUGGGCUUAUCAGUUUUAGAAGUAGACAUCUGUAUGCAAAAAAAAA
rnacentral:lncRNA from 1 species